rnacentral:snRNA from 1 species
GUGCUCAUUUUGGCAGCUCAUUUACCAAGGGCAGAGCCAUGCAGAGAAGGGCCCACACAAGGAUGACAUGCAAGUCUGUAAAGCAUUC